rnacentral:rRNA from 1 species
GUGCGUUGUCUAGCGCCUGACCGCAACGAGAAGGAGAGUCGUGGCGGUUGCGUCGAAGGCUUUGGGCGUAGGCUCAGCUGGAGCUUCCGUCACUGCAGAUCGGCGAUUGCGGCUUUUUAAGUCGCUUGCCCGAUAACGCACUCGAACUUGGUUACGUCGCUCAGGAACUGAGCCAGAGUCCUUUAGUUAAGGAACGGACUCCCUGGAAUUCGUGUUCUCUGGGCGACCCACGAGAAACCAAGGGAGGCUUUUAAUCUGUGCUGCAUCGUACCAAUAUCCGCAUCACGUCUCCAAGGUGAGCAGCCUCUAGUCGAUAGAAUAAUGUAGAUGAAGGAAGUCGCCAAAUUAGGUCCGUAACUUCGGGAAAAGGGAACGUUUUCAGAUGUGUGCUUUGUCUUCGGGCUCAGUAUCCUGACCGACAAUCAAAACGGUUGAACUGGAACUGGUACGGACUCGGGGAAUCCGACUGUUUAAUUAAAACAGAGGAGACAGAUGGUCCUUGCGGACGUUUACUGCCUCUGAUUUCUGCCCAGUGCUCUAAAUGUUAAAUCGUAGUAAUUCGAGCAAGCGCGGAUGAACGGCGGGAGUAACUAUGACUCUCUUAAGAUAGCCAAAUGCCUCGUCAGCUAACUACUGACGCGCAUGAAUGGAUUAACGAGAUUCCCACUGUGUCUAACUACUAUCUAGCGAAACAACAGCCAAGUGAACGGGCUUGGCAAAAAUAGCGGGAAAGAAGACCCUGUUGAGCUCGACUCUAGUUUGACAUUGUGAAGAGAGGUGUAGCAUAGGUGGGAGACUUCGGUCGCCAAUGAAAUACCACCACUCUCAUCGAUUCUUUACUUAUUCGGUGAGAGGAAAAUUGAGCUUCUGCUCCUUUUUCUUUGUCUUAAGCAAAGCCACCUGGUGGCCUCGCGACUCUCGCCGAAGACAGUGACAGGCGGGAAGUUUGGCUGGGGCGGUACAUCUGUCAAAUCGUAACCCAGGUGUCCUAAGGCUAGCUCAGAGAGGACGGAAACCUCUCGCAGAGCAAAAAGCAAAGGAGCAAAAGCUCGCUUGAAACCAAGCAUAACAAAAACAAAUGACAACGUAUUCCUGAUCCGGUAGAUUUUUUCGUGCUGCCGAAUAGGCUUCAUAGUUUCUAUGGAGGUCAUGUCAUUGUGUCAAUUCAUCUUUUUUGGCAAUAUCAUAGUAAUAUCUAUGGUGCGACAGAACGUCUGGCGCGCCCCAUGAAAACAACCAGCAUGAUCUUCUUGAAAAUCGCUUCGCCCGCCUCAUUUUCAGAGCGAUCAUCACCUCUACUGGUCGCCUACGCACUCGCCACAUUUCUAUGAAGACGUCACGAGGCGCGAUAGACUGUGACGCUUAUCGUUAUCUUCUCUACAUCUUUUCCAGCCCAAUCCUCACACGAGUGGUAUUGUCUGUCUGCCUUGCUCCUUCUUCCCUUUCCAACGACAUCUGACGAUGCAAACAGGAAAACUUCGCCUCAGACGUGAUUCCAUGAACUGAGGGUAAACUUUU